rnacentral:tRNA from 2 species
AGCCCGCGUGGCUCAAUGGUAGAGCACGUCACUCGUAAUGAUGAGAUUGUGGGUUCGAUUCCCACCGCGGGCUU